CGGUGUAAGAACAACAGGGAUUGCCUUAGUAGCGGCGAGUGAAGCGGCAAAAGCUCAAAUUUGAAAUCUGGCACCUUCGGUGUCCGAGUUGUAAUUUGAAGAUUGUAACCUUGGGGUUGGCUCUUGUCUAUGUUUCUUGGAACAGGACGUCACAGAGGGUGAGAAUCCCGUGCGAUGAGAUGCCCAAUCCUAUGUAAGGUGCUUUCGAAGAGUCGAGUUGUUUGGGAAUGCAGCUCUAAGUGGGUGGUAAAUUCCAUCUAAAGCUAAAUAUUGGCGAGAGACCGAUAGCGAACAAGUACAGUGAUGGAAAGAUGAAAAGAACUUUGAAAAGAGAGUGAAAAAGUACGUGAAAUUGUUGAAAGGGAAGGGUUUGAGAUCAGACUCGAUAUUUUGUGAGCCUUGCCUUCGUGGCGGGGUGACCCGCAGCUUAUCGGGCCAGCAUCGGUUUGGGCGGUAGGAUAAUGGCGUAGGAAUGUGACUUUGCUUCGGUGAAGUGUUAUAGCCUGCGUUGAUGCUGCCUGCCUAGACCGAGGACUGCGAUUUUAUCAAGGAUGCUGGCAUAAUGAUCCCAAACCGCCCGUCUUGAAACACGGACCAAGGAGUCUAACGUCUAUGCGAGUGUUUGGGGUGGAA
rnacentral:rRNA from 1 species